UUUCCGAAUGGGGAAAAUUCAACCUUUCGAGGUUAUUGUAUGCUGAAUCCAUAGGCAUACAAGGCAAACCUGGGGAACUGAAACAUCUAAGUACCCAGAGGAAAAGAAAUCAACCGAAAUUCCGUCAGUAGCGGCGAGCGAAAGCGGAACAGCCCAGUUACUAAAUUAUUAUUUGUUUUAGCAGAAUAUUCUGGAAAGUUUAGCCAUAGUGGGUGAUAGCCCCGUAUGCGAAAGAAUAGAUAAUAUGGGUAACAAUGAGUAGGUCGGGACACGUGAAAUCUUGACUGAAUAUGGGGGGACCGUCCUCCAAGGCUAAAUACUCCUUACUGACCGAUAGUGAACUAGUACCGUGAGGGAAAGGUGAAAAGAACCCCGGCGAGGGGAGUGAAAUAGAACCUGAAACCGUAUGCAUACAAGCAGUCAGAGCAUUUUUUCGAAAGUGUGAUGGCGUACCUUUUGUAUAAUGGGUCAGCGACUUACUUGUUGUAGCGAGCUUAACCGUCUAGGGGAGGCGUAGGGAAACCGAGUCUGAAAUGGGCGUUUUAGUUGCAGCGAGUCGACCCGAAACCGAACGA
rnacentral:rRNA from 1 species